GGACGAACGCUGGCGGCGUGCUUAACACAUGCAAGUCGCACGGGACUGGGGGCAACUCCAGUUCAGUGGCGGACGGGUGCGUAACACGUAAGUAACAUGUCCAAGGGUGGGGGAUAGCCGGCCCAACGGCCGGGUAAUACCGCAUGCAGUCACGGGGGACAUCCUCGGUGACGAAAGCCGGGGCAACCUGGCGCCCAUGGAGUGGCUUGCGGCCUAUCAGCUAGUUGGUGAGGUCACGGCUCACUAAGGCGACGACGGGUAGCUGGUCUGAGAGGAUGAUCAGCCACAUUGGGACUGAGACACGGCCCAGACUCCUACGGGAGGCAGCAGUGGGGAAUAUUGCGCAAUGGGCGAAUGCCUGACGCAGCGACGCCGCGUGUGGGAUGAAGGUCUUCGGAU
rnacentral:rRNA from 1 species